CUAAAAACAUAAGGACAGGAUGCGGUGCAAGGGGAUUUACCGGUACAUUUUGCAAAACAGACCUUCAUGUCUACCUAAAUCGAGUCGAAUCAACACCCCAAACCCAGAUCAUCUAUCCCCUUUUCCCCUCUGUACUGUACCGCUGCUCGAGGUCGCCGGCUGAGUUAGGAUUAACUGAAAAAAUUGGGCGAAUCCCUCUCUCCCUCUCCCUCUUCCUCUCCUGUACCUCGUCCUCUUCGGUUUCCAGCGUUCUUUUGUUUUUGCGGGGUGGUUUCCAGCGUUCAAGCACAAGCGCCCAAGAUCCGGAUCACGAUGUCCAGCGGUGGCUCGCUGCCAUUGUGUCUCUGUAGCGAGCUCUGUGGAUCGACGAUACGGCCGCAUAGGAGCGGACCAUCGUCCUUUACAGCUCGAGGAUCCAAGGCCUAUUUGUUGCUGGAUGGCGGUGCUGAAACAGUGAAGUGAUGUAAACAUUGACAUGACCCAUGCCUGAAGUUUGAGAAACCUCAAAUGGACAAUCAGAUAUGAUCUGGACUAGUAUGAGAGGUGAAUUAUCAAUUUCAUCAGCUGCUAUCUUGGAGGCAUAUGAAGAUGACUCCUCUGAAAAUUAUCCAGUCAACAACCAUAUUUCAUCUACAGAACAUAUAAAUGGAUGACGGGUAGAAGAUUAGCACUUGGUAAUUCCUUAGCAACGAUGAUCAGUCAUUUUAGGACAACCAUCAGUCAAUCGCACAACACAUGAAACAAAUUGGCAGCUACUAGCUAGAGCUAGUGUUAUGUGUUCAUAUAUCAUGAUUUUCAAACAGAUUAUGGGAACCUCCAAUAUAUGAGGUUUAAAGGUUUUGCAAACGGAUUAUAACACCGAUAUUCUGCAAGUCAUGGGUUACUACAUUGCAUAUAUGGGACUGAAAACAUCAGUUUUGAGGAAAAAAUGAACUAGAUAAUAAAAUCAGGAAGAUGAACUUGUAAUGGUUUCACGAAGUUUAGUUGGACAUACUAAGUACACUUUCUAUUUAAUAAUGUUCAAAACCCAGUUUUAUCUACAACAGUAUGUGAACAUUCAAUAUUUUAUAUAUCUUCAUUAUGUUUCGCA